CAUUGGGCAGGCUUACCAUGCAAGUCGAGGGGUAGGGCUCUUCGGUGUUUGAGACCGGCGCACGGGUGCGUAACGCGUAUGCAAUCUGCCUUUCACAGAGGGAUAGCCCAGAGAAAUUUGGAUUAAUACCUCAUAGUAUUACCACUCGGCAUCGAGAUGUAAUUAAAGUCACAACGGUGAAAGAUGAGCAUGCGUCCCAUUAGCUAGUUGGUAAGGUAACGGCUUACCAAGGCGACGAUGGGUAGGGGUCCUGAGAGGGAGAUCCCCCACACUGGUACUGAGACACGGACCAGACUCCUACGGGAGGCAGCAGUGAGGAAUAUUGGUCAAUGGGCGCAAGCCUGAACCAGCCAUGCCGCGUGCAGGAUGACGGUCCUAUGGAUUGUAAACUGCUUUUGUACGGGAAGAAACACUCCGACGUGUCGGAGCUUGACGGUACCGUAAGAAUAAGGAUCGGCUAACUCCGUGCCAGCAGCCGCGGUAAUACGGAGGAUCCAAGCGUUAUCCGGAAUCAUUGGGUUUAAAGGGUCCGUAGGCGGUCUUGUAAGUCAGUGGUGAAAGCCCAUCGCUCAACGGUGGAACGGCCAUUGAUACUGCAGGACUUGAAUUAUUGGGAAGUAACUAGAAUAUGUAGUGUAGCGGUGAAAUGCUUAGAGAUUACAUGGAAUACCAAUUGCGAAGGCAGGUUACUACCAAUGGAUUGACGCUGAUGGACGAAAGCGUGGGUAGCGAACAGGAUUAGAUACCCUGGUAGUCCACGCCGUAAACGAUGGAUACUAGCUGUUGGGGGCAACUUCAGUGGCUAAGCGAAAGUGAUAAGUAUCCCACCUGGGGAGUACGAACGCAAGUUUGAACUCAAAGGAAUUGACGGGGGCCCGCACAAGCGGUGGAGCAUGUGGUUAAUUCCAUGAUACGCGAGGAAACCUUAUCAAAGGCUUAAUGCAGACUGAACCAUUUGGAAAACAGAUCUUUCGCAAGACAGUUUACAAGGUGCUGCAUGGUUGCCGUCAGCUCGUGCCCUGAGGUG
rnacentral:rRNA from 1 species